UUAUAUUUUUAUUAUUUAAUUUUACCGUUUGCGACAACCUUUCUACAUUAUCACUAGAUCGUUUUAUUUAUUUAUAUAUGUUUUUUAUUGUUUAUUAACGUCUUGUUGACAACCUAGCUAUACCAACAUUAUGUCAUAAGUACCGUUUUAAUGUAUCAUAAAUAAUAAUUUGUCUAAUUGUUCCUCCGACAGUUAGAGUUCGGUUCUCCGGUUACAUCUAUGAUUGGUCAGUGUCGACUUGUGCAAUUUAUUAAAUAAAAUUAAGUACCGUCAUAUCUAUCUCCCACCCAAGAAAUUCGAGGAGUUAUACUUGAAAGGACAUGGAUGCCCUUAAAAAUGGGAUGUCAUCGGUUGCGUAAGAGAUCCACAGGAUGCACCACCAGUCGUCGCAGUUGCGUUUAGCCAUUUAAGAUUUUGAUGUUUUUUUUCCGCACUGAAGAUGGCCCCAAAAAAAGGGCCGAAACGUCCGCGAUUAGUCCUUUCAGGAUUUAAUGACCUGCGGAUACGAUCGUAUCAUGAUAAUACACAAACGCAUCCAGUAUAACAUUAAAAAAACAAAGCUUAACUAUUAUAUCGUCUCAUUGCAUAUACGUCAUAUAAAACUACUGUAUAACGAAUGCACAUUUCUUUAAAACUAUGUUUGAAAAUAUUCGCCAUUCAUAAAUGAGUACAUGAAACGGACGUAAUGGAUACUCGAAGAAUCAGUAUGCGUCAUAGGAAAACGCUCAGACUGACCUAGCCAAGAGCCUACGCGUUGGAAUUUCCUUACCGUGAAUGUGUAAGGCGGUUUGCAAAUAUUACGUAAAAAUAAUGAGAGAAAAGUGAAUAAUCAAGUAUCUAAGCAAGAAUAGAGAAAAAUGAGAAAGAGCAAGAGAGUGAGACGUCAUCUAUAUAUUGUUAAAUCCUAAAUAUAAUUUCCAUUAUUGCAUAAAAGGUAUGCAUCUCGUACAUAGUCAGAAAGAGAGAAAUAAAAAAAAAAUAUGUAAAUAUUUUAAAUAUUGCAAUUAAGAAUUAUGUUUUACCACGUUAAAUAAUCGAGGACAAUGUUUGAUGAAACAUGAAAGUAAGCGUAGACCUUGAAUUCUGUCGCUUGUCUCUCGGGUUCAACAAACUUUGCAGACAACGGUCGUAAAAAAAUAUUGUAGUAUUACCAAUGCAAGAUUCUUAUCGUUUGUUUAACAUUUUUAUAAUUACGUUAAUGCAUUU